UCCCUAAUCCCUUCAGAUUGCAGAUGAAGAUGAAGGAGAGAAGAAAGUAAAGGAAGAAUCCUGUUCCAAGCCCUACAGUCAAUCAAGGGCCAGACCCUUUUGUCUUGAGUUUUAGUAAGCUCUGGUUUCAGUGGGUCUGUUGCUGAGUCCACCUAGGAUCCAUCACUCAGAUCCUCCAUUGACGGGGCUAAUGAUGCUGACCCACAUUGUGAGCUACCUGGAUUUCUUCUGCCUGUAAUUAGCAGCCAACACAGGAUGGUGAGAUGCAAGGAUUCAUCUUAACAAGUAUCCAGACUGUCCAUUGCAUGCUGAGGAUUCUGCCAGAAACACUGCAGAAAAUGAGAGGGACAGUGUCCCUGGGUACCACUUGCUUCAUGUAUUUUAAACACAAGGCUAUUUGCUAUCUAUAAAUUCUGAAAAACUGUUUUUUG